UCCAUGAUGAAUUCAUUAACAGCAAUUGGCAGUUUGCAGUAACUAACAAUCGUUUGACAUUUGUCUCAUUUCAUAUUGUUUUCUUUCAUUUUGCCGGAGCCGGAAAUACGUAACUCCGGCUCCGGGCUCCGGCAUACAAAAUUCUGCUCCGGCUCUGGCGUCGGAAAAACCGCCGGAGCUCCGGCAGAACUCCGGCUCCGGCAACUCCGGCGCACAGCACUAAUAUAAUAUUUAGUUUAAAUAUGCUCUUAGAUCUGACUUAGUUCGAUAUAAAUAAACACAAAUAUAAAACCUCAUGUAACCUGUUUACGCUGUACAGGAAUAUACAGAUUCACUUGCCGUUCAGGAGCAAUGCUUGCCUUCAAAUUUUAUUUUACAAUCUUUGUUUUAUUUUAUUGUAUAGUCGCAAUAUUUUCAAGUAUUCG